ACCGGGUCUGAUCUAUUUAUUUUAUUAAUAUUAUUUUGAUAGAACCAAGAUCAGAUGCAUGCGACAUACAAUAGUAUGGCUAGGUGCGCCAACCUGAGCCUGAUGGUAAAAAAUACAUCUAAUGGUAUAUAAAAAACUUGAAUAACGAUAAAAUUUCAAGAUCCAAUAUCUGAAUGUGAGCACCAAAUCGACAAUCUUUCAAAAAUUCAACAACCUCAUCUUGAUUUUGAUCUGAAAAUUUAUCAAUUAACCUCAUCUCAACAAUAUGAUAUCAUUCUCUAAAUCACUCUCAUUUGAAAAUCUCUCUAGAAAAUCACUUUCAUCUGAAAAUCGCUCUCGUCUGAACAUGCAACUAGUUAUAUACCUUAAAAUCUGAAAAUCGCUCUCGUCUGAACAUGCAACUAGUUAUAUACCUUAAAAGGCAACUAGUUAUAUACUUGAACCUGAACCUAGUUAUAUACCUUAACAUGCAAUUAGUUAUAUACCUGAACCUGAACCUGAACCUGUCCCUAGUUAUAUACCUUAACAUGCUACUAGUUAUAUACAUGAACAUGCAAUUAAUUAUAUACCUGAACAUGCAACUAGAUAUAUACAUGAACGUAUAAGCAACUAGGUAUAGACAUGAACAUAUGCAACUAGGUAUAAACAUUAACAUGCAACUAGUAAUAUACCUG
rnacentral:lncRNA from 1 species